rnacentral:tRNA from 1 species
GUAGGUAUAGCUCAGUGGUAGAGCACAUGCUUAGCAUGCACGAGGUCCUGGGCUCAAUCCCCAGUACCUCCA